rnacentral:rRNA from 1 species
GGUUGCGAUCAUACCAGCACUAAUGCAUCGGAUCCCAUCAGAACUCCGGAGUUAACCGUGCUUGGGCGAGAGUAGUACUAGGAUGGGUGUCCCCCUGGGAAGUCCUCGUGUUGCAACCCC